UGCGUAGGGUGCGAGCGUUAAUCGGAAUUACUGGGCGUAAAGUGUGCGCAGGCGGCCGAGCAAGUCGCGUGUGAAAGCCCCGGGCUUAACCUGGGAACUGCGCUCGAAACUACUUGGCUGGAGUGUGGCAGAGGGAGGUGGAAUUCCACGUGUAGCGGUGAAAUGCGUAGAGAUGUGGAGGAACACCGAUGGCGAAGGCAGCCUCCUGGGCCAACACUGACGCUCAUGCACGAAAGCGUGGGGAGCAAACAGG
rnacentral:rRNA from 1 species